rnacentral:rRNA from 1 species
CCCUUAGAUGUUCUGGGCCGCACGCGCGCUACACUGACGAAUGCAACGAGCUUAUAACCUUGGCCGAAAGGUCUGGGUAAUCUCCAAAUUUCGUCGUGAUGGGGAUAGAUUAUUGCAAUUAUUAAUCUUCAACGAGGAAUGCCUAGUAAGCGCAAGUCAUCAGCUUGCGUUGAUUACGUCCCUGCCCUUUGUACACACCGCCCGUCGCUCCUCCCGAUUGAAUGGUCCGGUGAAGCGUUCGGACCGUGGCCUUUGGACGGUUCGCCGUCUGUUGGCUGCGGGAAGUUCGUUAAACCUUAUCAUUUAGAGGAAGGAGAAGUCGUAACA